AUCUACCGUUCCUCAGUUCUCUUAUCCAUUCGUUUCUCUCUGAAAUUCCCCCUUCCGUUUCCCUUCCAGAGAUCGUUUCCCUUCCAAUCUCUGGUUCUUUCCCCUUCCGUUUCCCUUCCAAUCUCACGUGUGGGGAUGAUGCAGGCAUCUCCAGCAAGAACGGCAGCAGCAUGGGGGCGAAUGGGCGAUGCGCGAUGAGCUCGUGCCCUCGUCUCCCUCGUCUAGAUGUGUAGUAGCUGGGAAAUGCUCCUCACCGAGAAGGAGGCUGGUCUUGUCGAGAAGUCGAAGGCGGUGCUGACUGAGGAGCAAGAUAGCAAUGGCGCUAUGGCCUGGUGAUAUUGUUUCUUCAUGUUUCCCUUUAAUUUUAGCCCGCCUUAUUUUUUCAUUUGCCGCCUCUUUUUUAUCAUCAGUUAUCUUCCAAUUUUUGUUUUUUUCAUUUGCCGCCUCUUUUUUUGUUUUGCUCCCGCUUUUUAUUUGGAGUGAACAAGGAGCCAAUAUAAUUCCUCGCACAUCCGGCGCCCCUCCAUCUCUUCCCCAACCCCCGCCUCCAACCUCGUGCGCUCUCUUCGGCUUCUUCUCCAUGUGCAGCGUGCAGGAGGGAUUUUGGGGAAGUCGUGGAGGCAGGACGCCGAGGCGAGGCGAGGCGAUGGCGAUCCCCUCAACCCACAUCCGCGUGAUCCAGACUUCCAGACAACCCACAGUGAUUCCCACCUCCGCUUAGAUGUGAUAGUUUUUUAUUAAACUAAUGAGUCUGCUUUCGUAGUUCAGAUCAGAUCGUCCUUAGUUAGGGGGUGUUUGUUUCUUUAUCCUUAAAUUCAUGUCACAUCCAAUGUUUAGAUACUAGGAAUAUUAAACAUAGACUAAUUACAAAACUAAUUGCACAGAUAGAGACUAAUUUGCGAGACGAAUCUUUAACUCUAAUUAGUGCAUGAUUUGACAAUAUGAUGCUACAGUAAAUAUGUGCUAAUGAUGGAUUAAUUAGGCUUAAUAGAUUCGUCUCGUGAAUUAGCCUCCUGUAAUUAGUUUUAGAAUUAACUCAUAUUUAGUCCUCCUAAUUGACCUCCGAAUAUUCGAUGUGAUAUGAAUUUUAGUCCGGACUAAAGAUCCAAACACCAUCUUAUGUUCAUUAGUUUGUUAUUCCAGAAUUCAGUGCGAGGGUGAUAUUGUUUUUCCACCGUCGUACGUGAGGGGCUUUAAACAAGCCACAUUGUUUCCUUAAAAUUAUUUUUCCUUGCCAGCAUUUUAUUUAUAUAGUUUAUUCCCCCCUUGAUCCUCUGCUUGGAACAGAGGCAAGAAGAAUAAAUAACUUUCUGGGGGGCAAAAGGACGCUACAUAGCUACAACACAUCUUUUUUUAAAAAGAACUAUUGCUAAGUGCUAAGCCUAGAGUCAUGUGCAGCUAUCCCAACGACAGGUUUGUCAGGUCAUUGCAAUAUGUACACUGUGCAGAUUCAGUUUAAUUUGCACAUGCUCUGUGGAUUUGAAGAUGUGUCAUAAUAUGAAAAAUAAUUCUACUGCAA